rnacentral:rRNA from 1 species
AGCGAACGCUGGCGGCAGGCCUAACACAUGCAAGUCGAACGGAUCCUUCGGGAUUAGUGGCGGACGGGUGAGUAACACGUGGGAACGUGCCCUUUGGUUCGGAACAACUCAGGGAAACUUGAGCUAAUACCGGAUGUGCCCUUCGGGGGAAAGAUUUAUCGCCAUUGGAGCGGCCCGCGUCUGAUUAGCUAGUUGGUGGGGUAAAGGCCCACCAAGGCGACGAUCAGGAGCUGGUCUGAGAGGAUGAUCAGCCACAUUGGGACUGAGACACGGCCCAAACUCCUAGGGGGGGCAGCAGUGGGGAAUCUUGCGCAAUGGGCGAAAGCCUGACGCAGCAAUGCCGAGUGAAUGAUGAAGGUCUUAGGAUUGUAAAAUUCUUUCCCCGGGGACGAUAAUGACGGUACCCGGAGAAGAAGCCCCGGCUAACUUCGUGCCAGCCGCCGCAGUAAUAC